rnacentral:rRNA from 1 species
CCCGGGUCUUGUACACACCGCCCGUCACACCAUGGGAGCGGGUUUCACCAGAAGUAGGUAGCUUAACCGCAAGAGGCGCUUACCACGGUGGGAUUCGCGACUGGGGUG